AUGAACGCUGGCGGCGUGCCUAAUACAUGCAAGUCGGGCGAACAGAUAAGGAGCUUGCUCCUUUGACGUUAGCGGCGGACGGGUGAGUAACACGUGGGUAACCUACCUAUAAGACUGGGACAACUUCGGGAAACCGGAGCUAAUACCGGAUAAUAUGUUGAACCGCAUGGUUCAAUAGUGAAAGAUGGUUUUGCUAUCACUUAUAGAUGGACCCGCGCCGUAUUAGCUAGUUGGUGAGGUAACGGCUCACCAAGGCAACGAUACGUAGCCG
rnacentral:rRNA from 1 species